rnacentral:rRNA from 1 species
UAGAUACCCUGGUAGUCCACGCUGUAAACGAUGCUAACUCGUUUUUGGGUUUUCGGAUUCAGAGACUAAGCGAAAGUGAUAAGUUAGCCACCUGGGGAGUACGAACGCAAGUUUGAAACUCAAAGGAAUUGACGGGGGCCCGCACAAGCGGUGGAUUAUGUGGUUUAAUUCGAUGAUACGCGAGGAACCUUACCAAGGCUUAAAUGGGAAUUGAUCGGUUUAGAAAUAGACCUUCCUUCGGGCAAUUUUC